GAUGAACGCUGGCGGCGUGCCUAAUACAUGCAAGUCGAGCGAACAGACGAGGAGCUUGCUCCACUGACGUUAGCGGCGGAAGGGUGAGUAACACGUGGAUAACCUACCUAUAAGACUGGGAUAAAUUCGGGAAACCGGAGCUAAUACCGGAUAAUAUAUUGAACCGCAUGGUUCAAUAGUGAAAGACGGUUUUGCUGUCAAUUAUAGAUGGGUCCGCGCCGCAUUAGCUAGUUGGUAAGGUAACGGCUUACCAAGGCGACGAUGCGUAGCCGACCUGAGAGGGUGAUCGGCCACACUGGAACUGAGACACGGUCCAGACUCCUACGGGAGGCAGCAGUAGGGAAUCUUCCGCAAUGGGCGAAAGCCUGACGGAGCAACGCCGCGUGAGGGAUGAAGGUCUUCGGAUCGUAAAACUCUGUUAUUAGGGAAGAACAAAUGUGUAAGUAACUAUGCACGUCUUGACGGUACCUAAUCAGAAAGCCACGGCUAACUACGUG
rnacentral:rRNA from 1 species